rnacentral:rRNA from 1 species
GAUGAACGCUGGCGGCGUGCCUAAUACAUGCAAGUCGAGCGAACAGACGAGGAGCUUGCUCCUCUGACGUUAGCGGCGGACGGGUGAGUAACACGUGGAUAACCUACCUAUAAGACUGGGAUAACUUCGCGAAACCGGAGCUAAUACCGGAUAAUAUAUUGAACCGCAUGGUUCAAUAGUGAAAGACGGUUUUGCUGUCACUUAUAGAUGGAUCCGCGCCGCAUUAGCUAGUUGGCAAGGUAACGGCUUACCAAGGCAACGAUGCGUAGCCGACCUGAGAGGGUGAUCGGCCACACUGGAACUGAGACACGGUCCAGACUCCUACGGGAGGCAGCAGUAGGGAAUCUUCCGCAAUGGGCGAAAGCCUGACGGAGCAACGCCGCGUGAGUGAUGAAGGUCUUCGGAUCGUAAAACUCUGUUAUUAGGGAAGAACAAAUGUGUAAGUAACUAUGCACGUCUUGACGGUACCUAAUCAGAAAGCCACGGCUAACUACGUG